CGGUAUUUAGAUUUUGCGUUUUCAUCUUCUUGAAAAGCUUUGCUGUGCUUGAUUGCAUGGUGUGGGAAUCAGGACAUUUACUUUGAGGAAUUUAGAGUGUUUCAAGCAGGUUUGUGCUGAAAUAGCCUAGCAUGGAAUAAUAACAUGGGGUCUUGGUCUUGUUUGUUGGUUUCUAGGCUGAGGAAACAAUCAAUAGGGAUAGCUGGGGGCAUUUGUACUUAACUGUCAGAGGUGAAAUUUUGGAUUUGUUAAAGACAAACUACUGCGAAAGCCUUUGUCAAGGAUGUUUUCAUUGAUCAAGAACGAAAGUUAAGGGAUCGAAGACGAUCAGAUACCGUCGUAGUCUUAACCAUAAACAAUGCCAUCUAGAGAUUGGAGGUAGUGCCAAGGAUUACUUUUCAGCAUCAUUUGAGAAAUCAAAGCUUUUGGGUUCCGGGGGGAGUAUGGUCGUAAGGCUGAAACUUAAAGGAAUUGACGGAAGGGCACCACCAGGAGUGGAGCCUGCGGCUUAAUUUGACUCAACACGGGAAAACUCACCAGAACCAGACAUAAACAGGAUUGACAGAUUGAUAGCUCUUUCUUGAUUUUAUGGGUGGUGGUGCAUGGCCGUUCUUAGUUGGUGGAGUGAUCUGUCUGGUUAAUUCCGUUAACGAACGAGACCUUGUCUUACUAAAUAGUUACAUGUAACUUUGGUUACAUGGCAGCUUCUUAGGGGGACUUUGCGAGCCUA
rnacentral:rRNA from 1 species